rnacentral:lncRNA from 1 species
UUGUUUUAUAGACGUUUUGUAUUUUAAAUGGAAUUUGGCGCUUUUAUGAGGAUCUACCGUUGCUCGCAGUGAUGACGUCAUCACUCGCACGUGCUCAGCGCUGACUUGAGCAAACAACACAAUCAGCUAUUGUGACAUUACAAGAGAUGUCAGAUCUGCUCCUCCUUCAGUGAAGCUCCUCCCACAACAAUCACACCUUCAUUGAAGCUCCUCCCAUAACAGGCUCCCCUUCAGG